AUCGAACGCUGGCGGCAUGCCUUACACAUGCAAGUCGAACGGCAGCACGGGAGCAAUCCUGGUGGCGAGUGGCGAACGGGUGAGUAAUAUAUCGGAACGUGCCCAGUCGUGGGGGAUAACGUAGCGAAAGCUACGCUAAUACCGCAUACGAUCUAUGGAUGAAAGCGGGGGAUCGCAAGACCUCGCGCGAUUGGAGCGGCCGAUAUCAGAUUAGGUAGUUGGUGGGGUAAAAGCCUACCAAGCCUUCGAUCUGUAGCUGGUCUGAGAGGACGACCAGCCACACUGGAACUGAGACACGGUCCAGACUCCUACGGGAGGCAGCAGU
rnacentral:rRNA from 1 species